AUGCCGACGUUCGCUUUGACCGUCCUUCGAGUGCCAAAGAAGUUACUAAAGGAGAUUGACAAGUGCAGGCGCAGAUUCUUAUGGAAGCAAGAUGAGGAGAUCACAGGUGGUAGCUGCAAGGUCAACUGGACAGCUGUUUGCGCUCCCACAUCGCACAGAGGACUGGGCGUCCUCGACCUCGAGCGGUUCAGCCGAGCCCUGAGAUUACGGUGGCUCUGGACUUCCUGGACUGACCCGGAGCGAGCAUGGGUUGGUACAGAGCCACCGUGCAGCGCCAUAGACACAACCCUUUUCAGGGCAGUGACCACGGUCACCAUCGGUGAUGGCGCAACGGCCCUAUUCUGGCACUCAUCCUGG
rnacentral:rRNA from 1 species